rnacentral:rRNA from 1 species
AGUCGAACGAGUUCUCGUUGAUGAUCGGUGCUUGCACCGAGAUUCAACAUGGAACGAGUGGCGGACGGGUGAGUAACACGUGGGUAACCUGCCCUUAAGUGGGGGAUAACAUUUGGAAACAGAUGCUAAUACCGCAUAGAUCCAAGAACCGCAUGGUUCUUGGCUGAAAGAUGGCGUAAGCUAUCGCUUUUGGAUGGACCCGCGGCGUAUUAGCUAGUUGGUGAGGUAAUGGCUCACCAAGGCGAUGAUACGUAGCCGAACUGAGAGGUUGAUCGGCCACAUUGGGACUGAGACACGGCCCAAACUCCUACGGGAGGCAGCAGUAGGGAAUCUUCCACAAUGGACGCAAGUCUGAUGGAGCAACGCCGCGUGAGUGAAGAAGGCUUUCGGGUCGUAAAACUCUGUUGUUGGAGAAGAAUGGUCGGCAGAGUAACUGUUGUCGGCGUGACGGUAUCCAACCAGAAAGCCACGGCUAACUACGUGCCAGCAGCCGCGGUAAUACGUAGGUGGCAAGCGUUAUCCGGAUUUAUUGGGCGUAAAGCGAGCGCAGGCGGUUUUUUAAGUCUGAUGUGAAAGCCCUCGGCUUAACCGAGGAAGCGCAUCGGAAACUGGGAAACUUGAGUGCAGAAGAGGACAGUGGAACUCCAUGUGUAGCGGUGAAAUGCGUAGAUAUAUGGAAGAACACCAGUGGCGAAGGCGGCUGUCUGGUCUGUAACUGACGCUGAGGCUCGAAAGCAUGGGUAGCGAACAGGAUUAGAUACCCUGGUAGUCCAUGCCGUAAACGAUGAAUGCUAGGUGUUGGAGGGUUUCCGCCCUUCAGUGCCGCAGCUAACGCAUUAAGCAUUCCGCCUGGGGAGUACGACCGC